rnacentral:pre_miRNA from 1 species
AUACAAAUCACCUGGGGAUCUUGUUACAAUGCAGAUUCUGAUCCCAUAGGUCUGGAGAGGAGCCUUAGACUGCAUUUCUAACAAGCUACCAGGUGAUGUCGAU